GAUGAAGAACGCAGCGAAAUGCGAUAAGUAAUGUGAAUUGCAGAAUUCAGUGAAUCAUCGAAUCUUUGAACGCAUCUUGCGCUCCUUGGUAUUCUGAGGAGCAUGCCUGUUGAGUGUCAUUAAAUUCUCAACUACACUGACUUUGAAUUGGUGUGGCUUGGAUUUGGGGGGAAAAUUGUUGUGGGCUUUUUGUAUAGUCUGCUCCCCUGAAAUUGAUUAGCGGUACCUUUGUGGAACUGUCUACAGGUGUGAUAAUUAUCUACAUCUUAGACAUCUGCUGGAAUGCUGCUUUCUAAACCUUACUUGUAUUGACAAUCUUGACCUCAAAUCAGGUAGGACUACCCGCUGAACUUAAGCAUAUCAAUAAGCGGAGGA
rnacentral:misc_RNA from 1 species